UGCAACCACCUAUCAGAGGGGAAUAACCCGGACGAAAGUCGGACUAAUACCGCAUAAAACAGGGGCACCGCAUGGUGAUAUUUGUUAAAGAAAUUCGCUGAUAGAUGGGCAUGCGUUCCAUUAGGUAGUUGGUGAGGUAACGGCUCACCAAGCCGACGAUGGAUAGGGGAACUGAGAGGUUGGUCCCCCCACACUGGUACUGAGACACGGACCAGACUCCUACGGGAGGCAGCAGUGAGGAAUAUUGGUCAAUGGGGCGGGAGCCUGAACCAGCCAAGUCGCGUAGAAGGAAGAAGGAUCUAUGGUUCGUAAACUUCUUUUGCAGGGGAAUAAAGUGCAGGACGUGUCCUGUUUUGUAUGUACCCUGAGAAUAAGGAUCGGCUAACUCCGUGCCAGCCGCUGC
rnacentral:rRNA from 1 species